CAAAACACUUAGUCAAAACACUUACCCAAAAUAUUCAUUUUCCAGCUUCACCAUUUCCAGCCACCCUUCCCCCUCUCUCUGUGGAGGUGUUGGGCGUACUGCUUAGGCCAAGAAUAGGCAUUCAAAUGGACAGGGUCGCUGGCUUGUUAAAUCUGCUAGCUUCAUUUUGGAUUUGCUCAAGAAUGCUAAAAGCAAUGCAGAGGUUUGUCUAUGUAGGUGAAAGGCUUGGAUGUGGAUUCAUUUUUCAUUUCUCACAUUCAAGUGAAUCAAGCAAAUAAACAAAGACGCCGCACAUAUCGUGCUCAUGGAAGAAUAAACCCCUACAUGUCUUCCCCCUGCCAUAUUGAGUUGAUUUUGUCCGAGAAGGAAGAGUCUAUCAAAAAGGAGAAUGCAAACCUUUGGUGAGGUGCAGAUCUAGGUGGAAGGACCCCGCGGGAAGCUUAAUCCCAACUUCAAGCAUCUCAAUCUCGACUUCCAGCUCAUCACCAAUGAGGCCACAGAAAAGAGGAAGCUCAAGGUCGACGCUUGGUUCGGCUCCCACAAGACUACCGCCGCCAUUCGCACUGCCCUCAGCCACGUUAAACUGACUCAGCUAACGGUCUUUCGUUUAUUGCCAGGGUGUUGCCAAGAACCUGCCAAGUACGUGUACUAGAUAUCGGGAUCCAACUUCAUGCUUUUUCCCUCAGAACCUGAUUGACAACGUAAAAACUCCUCUUUUUAUUCUUAAUGCUGCCUAUGAUUCAUGGCAGGUCCAGGCUAGCUUAGCUUCUCCUACAGGAGUUUGGAAGCUGCCAACUGGUGUAGUAAAUGAGGGUGAGGAUAUUUCAGCAACUGCUAUUAGAGAAGUAAAAGAUGAGACAGGAAUUGAGACAAGAUUCUUGGAAGUCCUUGCCUUCAGGUAAGUCUAAUUUGCUUGCCAAUAUUUAGGAUAGAAUAUGGUAAACCAAGCAUUCUGUUCCAAGGAGUUGCAUAAAUCAAAAAGGCCGCAAAGAGUUCGUUUCUUUUUCCUUCUUUUGUUAUUUCUUGGAGAUUCUGAAAACCACAAGGCAUUCUUUGAAAAGUCAGAUUUGUUUUUUGUUUGCAAAAUGCAACCACUCUCUUUUGAUGUGCAAAAGCAAGAUUCUGAGAUUGAGGCAGCAAAGGUAAUUCUAUAGUUGCCUAUGAAUCUCAUGUUGGUUUCUUUUUUAUAGAAUGCACCACAAAUCCCUAAACAACUGAGCGUGAAAAUCAUCUUUUAAUGAUCAUUGAUCUAUAUUAUGUCUUCACUAAGUGGAAAAGUUUGAGUCCUUCCUGUUAUAAUUCAUUUAUGGACCUGAUGCAGCACUAGUUUGCAGUCAAAGAAAGGUAUAAUAAAUGGUUAUGCUGAAAAUCCUAAGCAUUGAGCUAGAAACACUAAUUUUCUCUCUUCCCACAAAACAUUGUCAUCAUGUGUUUGGGAUGUUGAGAUACUUCACAAUACUUUUGAUCAACAAAGGGCAUUAAGACACUUCAUUGCCACUGGUAUGACUAGCUAUUCUGAAUAGAUAGCAGAAACAAACAUUCAAGAAAUUUUGCCCAAAUGGAUAGCUUGAAGCCAAAGGCUUAAUCAAGUCUGUCACUUGUUUUUGUGAAUUACUGAAAAAGCUAAAUGAGGCGAUCUCUUGAAGGGAAGUACUAGAUCUUAGGCCAUCAGAAUAAAGCUUGAAAAAAUGUAGAAUCAUAGCAGGCAUCAGGAUUCAUAAAAUAAAAAGCUUGCAUUGCUUGGAAUAGCUGUUGUUGAUAGAAUCUCAGAACUUUAUCUAAGCUCUGAAGCGAAAAAAGAAAAGUUAGUCUUAGCUCAGAAUUUCCUAUCUUAGAACCAAGUGUUACAUGUUAUAAUUCAUAUCUAGAUCCCAAAAUUACCAAUUACUAAUUACUACCCCAUUAAUCUGAAACUUAUUAGUGAAAAGACGUUUUAGGUUUGAUGUGGAACUAAGGGUGAUAUUAUUUUUUUCUUUCUUUUUUGUAAAAUGAUCAACCUGAACAUUACCUCCAUGUAUUAGGUUUGAUAAAUUUUAUAGCCAUGCUGACGGGACUCCAUCGAGUAGUGUGGUGGUUGAGAAUUUGAUAAGUGAACUAAGAGUGUUUUUAUGUUACUUAAGUCAUGCUGAAACUGAUAAUAACUAUAUUUGCUUUUCUUUUAGAGUAAAAUGAAAAAAAAAAAAAAGCAAGCUAAACUUCCACCAGAAACUGAGGACUCAAUUGGCCGAAAUGACAUAUUUGCUCAAGUCAUUGGACAAGACAAACCUGGCCACAUCCGGCUGUUUAGUGAAGGUGUCAAUCCAACUGACUUGUAGAGAGAUAUCCCAAGUCGUAGCAUGUGCCAUCAUAUAAAUAUUGAGCAGCAGACAGUAUUUUCAAUAAUGGAAGAUAAAGUGAAGCAACAAGAAGUAGACAUUGUUGAUCUGAAGAAAUUAGCGCAAUAAUUGAGUCAAAGUUCAGCAGACAGCCUAAGGUAUCCAUCAUCAUCAUCUGCCAGUGUUUUAGGCCGGAAUCCAUCUGAUGAUAUUGGCGGACAAGUGUUAGGAUCAAAUUGGUAUGAGAUAAAUGUACUAGUAACGGUGGAACCUAAUGAGCAGCUGAUUAGACCGUAUGAUUUGUAGCAAACAAUCCAAGAUGCAUUUGGAGCACCAAUCGCUUGGCUUUCUCUUUAUUCACUGCAAUUUCUUUUAGACUUAGUGCUGAUUCUCUUUUGUUUAUUAGAUAGCAAUGCUGUUUUCAUGUUAGCUUGCAGUUCUUUUGAACCCUUUCACUUGAUUACUUUUGUUGUUGAAGGAUAUUUGAGCAUUGGUUUGCUUUUAAA